rnacentral:rRNA from 1 species
UAGCAUAUCAAUAAGCGGAGGAAAAGAAACUAACAAGGAUUCCCCUAGUAACUGCGAGUGAAGCGGGAAGAGCUCAAAUUUAAAAUCUGGCGGUCUCUGGCCGUCCGAGUUGUAAUCUAGAGAAGUGCUGCCCGCGCUGGACCGUGUACAAGUCUCCUGGGAUGGAGCGUCAUAGAGGGUGAGAAUCCCGUCUUUGACACGGACUACCAGGGCUUUGUGGUACGCUCUCAAAGAGUCGAGUUGUUUGGGAAUGCAGCUCAAAAUGGGUGGUAAAUUCCAUCUAAAGCUAAAUAUUGGCGAGAGACCGAUAGCGAACAAGUACCGUGAGGGAAAGAUGAAAAGAACUUUGGAAAGAGAGUUAAACAGUACGUGAAAUUGCUGAAAGGGAAACGCUUGAAGUCAGUCGCGUUGGCCGGGGAUCAGCCUCGCUUUUCGCGUGGUGUACUUUCCGGUUGACGGGUCAGCAUCAAUUUUGACCGCUGGAAAAAGGCUUGAGGAAUGUGGCAGCUCCGGCUGUGUUAUAGCUUCUAGUCACAUACAGCGGUUGGGAUUGAGGAACUCAGCACGCCGCAAGGCCGGGUUUCGACCACGUUCGUGCUUAGGAUGCUGGCAUAAUGGCUUUAAGCGACCCGUCUUGAAACACGGACCAAGGAGUCUAACAUGCCUCAGU